GGCUGUGGCUCUCUGCAUCCGUUCCCAUCUCUCACCUCAUUGAUCGCCAGGUUGAUUUGGCUGAUCUCACUGGCUACGAAGGUUUCUCCUUCCUCCCUCACUGCUCCAUGUGCAUUUUUUCUCAUUCGAAGAGGACGACCUUCGACCUUCCCCACACAGAGGAGGGCCAGUCUUCAGUCAAGGGUAUAUGAAUAGGGCUGUGCUCCCCUGCUAGAACCUCCAGUCAAGCUCUCAAGAAUUUUAAUUUUUCUGUUGAUAUAUAUUCAAACACCUAGUACCAGACCCUGAAUAUGAUAGGCUAUUAGUGAA
rnacentral:snRNA from 1 species